rnacentral:rRNA from 1 species
CAAACGGAUUAGAUACCCCGGUAGUCACGCCGUAAACGAUGUCUACUAGCCGUUGGAGGACUUGAUCCUUUAGUGGCGCAGCUAACGCGAUAAGUAGACCGCCUGGGGAGUACGGUCGCAAGAUUAAAACUCAAAUGAAUUGACGGGGGCCCGCACAAGCGGUGGAGCAUGUGGUUUAAUUCGAAGCAACGCGAAGAACCUUACCUACUCUUGACAUCCAGUGAACUUUUGAGAGAUCAAUUGGUGCCUUCGGGAGCACUGAGACAGGUGCUGCAUGGCUGUCGUCAGCUCGUGUUGUGAAAUGUUGGGUUAAGUCCCGUAACGAGCGCAACCCUUGUCCUUAGUUACCAUCAUUAAGUUGGGGACUCUAAGGAGACUGCCGGUGACAAACCGGAGGAAGGCGGGGACGACGUCAAGUCAUCAUGGCUCUUACGAGUAGGGCUACACACGUGCUACAAUGGCAUGUACAAAGGGUUGCCAAGCCGCGAGGUGGAGCUAAUCCCAUAAAGCAUGUCGUAGUCCGGAUUGGAGUCUGCAACUCGACUCCAUGAAGUCGGAAUCGCUAGUAAUCGUGAAUCAGAAUGUCACGGUGAAUACGUUCCCGGGCCUUGUACACACCGCCCGUCACACCAUGGGAGUGGGUUGCUCCAGAAGUAGAUAGCUUAACCUUCGGGAGGGCGUUUACCACGGAGUGAUUCAUGACUGGGGUGAAGUCGUAACAAGGUAACCGUA